UUGUUGUGACGAGACAAAGAACCAAGGACCACACACUCGCGUGACAUCUAUGGUGCCGUGACUCGGAUAUAACCUGGCUGAAACAACCUCUGCGUGGAAGAGGCCAAGCACAACAGGAGCCCAAUUCUGCGAAGCUCCAGCGCUAGAAGCGAAAGGCGAAGAAACACAGCACAGGGGAAGGCCCAUCGUGCUGGAAACCCGGACAACGAAAAACGAACUCAGCAGAAAGCUCACGCAGCCCAGUCUCAGAUUCCAGAAGACAUCCGGUUAAGAUGGGAAAUAACCAAUCCACUUCCCGGCAGACGCCCUUGAAAUGUAUCCUUGAUAACUGGAAGCUGUUCGACCCUCUAGCUCUAAGGAGAAGUCGUUUGAAAUUCUUUUGUGCCACUGCAUGGCCACAGUAUCCACUGGGGGACGAGGAACACUGGCCUGAGGAUGGAACUUUAAAUUACAAUACCAUCCUGCAAUUAGAAUUAUUCUGCAAAA